CAGUCCCCUCCUGGAUGUGACCCGCCCCAGAGUGUGGCUUCCCUUGUAGGUAGCCACACCCCCGGGUGCGACUUGCCCUGUGCGUGGCUCCGCCCCCAGCGCAGGCUGGUAGGAACCUCUCCUUAGAAAUCCCUUCAGUUACUGGCUCUUCUGUCUGGGAGUUUAUGAACUCUGCGGGCGUGCCAGACUGUAUUGAGGAAAUCAGCUAGAUAGCUAUCAAAUCAUUCUAAACACCUGUGAAAUCAAGGGGCGAUUGAUGAAAAGAACACCUACAACUCUACAAACAGAAAAGUGACCAUGUUCUUCCAGUAAGCUGCCAUGCUGGAGAAGCCCACUUGAUAAGGAACCAGCCAUCUCCAGCCAAGAGCCAGCAAGGUACUGAGGAUCUCAUUCCAACUGACUUUGAGGAACUGCAUCCUGCCAGCAACUAUGUGAAUGAGUAUGGGAGUUGGUCCUUCCCCAGUCAAACCUCCAGAUGAGAAUGUAGCCUCAGCUGACACCUUAAAUGCAGCCUUGAAAUAGAGAAUACAGCCCUGAGCAGUCCUGAGACUGUCCAGAAGACUACCUCAAGCGUUCUCUAGCACACUCACCGCAUUCUGAGUCCUAGUCUGAGGUGGAGUUGCCUUCCCUCAAGAGCCCCAUUGUUCUUAUCCUGGAAGGUGGUAUCUGCCUUGUCAACAUUCCUACCACUAACAGCUAAGUGAUGCUUUUGUUCUGCAAGAAACACCUUCAGUCCAGCAGCCUGAAGAAACACCCAGGGAAGGGAAGCACUUCUGGUGGAAACCUCAGUGUCAACUUUGACAUGACUCACAAGACAGAUUCUUCAGCAUCAUCUAGGGUAUUCUUUGAUGCUAUCCCAACCAGCCCAAGAUCAACCCAAACAACACCCUGCACCCAAAAAAAUGCUCUGAUUCAGAGUAAAUCCACCUGUGGGAUCCCCUGAUCACUGACUUCUAAAUAAUGAUUAAGCUACUGUAACACAAUAACAGUGAAGAAACAGCAGUGGCUUAAUCAUUAUUUUCUGAAAACUAUACCUGUCUUUGAUCUUCCUUGGAUACAAAAGACUUGCUGUAAAGGGUGUAAAACACAAUAAGGGGAGAGGUGUGAGCUACUAUAUAUUUUCAGUAAGGAUAAGCCAUGGGACAGGAAAAGAGCCCAACUCUUCACACUGCAUAAGAGAGGGAAUGGGCUUUUGAGGGUCUUGGACAGCACAUGAUACAUAUGUCCUAGGAGGUCCAGGAAAUUGGUCACCCUUUAGAAGCCGCAGGAAGAAAUCGGUAACAGCGUAACUGAUUUACCCAAACCCCAGGCUCCCAACACAGUAGACAGAAGAGAAAUUACUUUAUUAGAGAAAUAUUUAUUCCUCAAAAUGGAUUAUUUUAAGGUAGAAAGUGCCCCAAAACACAGUGGAGUUCUUCACUUAUGGGCUCCUAAGUUCUUUAUCAGAAUCCAACCUCAUUACAUUAUCUGAAGAGUGAACUGGGACACUCAAAUAUUAUCUUCUGGACCAUUCUCUGGGAUGCAUCCCUGAUCCUUCUUCCAGUCAUCAUUUUCCUUCUCCAGAUUUUUGUCCUUCUCCAAAUCAUUAUUAUCCUUCUCCAGGUCAUCUUGGUAAUUUGCCAGGUCACUGUACUCUAGCUGAGGCAUUUCCAGAUCCUACACAUACAAACGUCUAGAGACACUCAAUUUGACCUAACUCUUUAAAAUUACAGUUCCCUGAGCGUCCAUGAUGGCCCUGAGACUCAGGUAGCUGUAGAAGAGUACUCGGACCAAUCACCACUGCGAGAGACCCAUAGAUCCUGUAGGGAAGAACCCACCAGUGUUGGAUGGGCCUCUUUUGAGGAACCUCUCUAGUUUGUUUGUUUUUUUCCCCGAUUCUUGUCACUGAGAGGAGACUGUGCAUGACGGAUAGAGAUAAAAGCACGACCUGGGAGGGGCAGAUUACAACUUGGGCCUUAGUGGCACAGGAUUUGGGAGAAUGGUUAUGAGCAGAAGGACAGUAAUCCUCUUGGGAUCUUUGAAAAACAGUGGGUAAACCCAAAACUUAUUCCUGCCCCUAGUGCAACACGUUCCAUUCCAAAUGUUAUAUUUCAGUUGACAUAACGCUCAGAUUCAUUCUGAGGUCUGUAAAAAAAACACUCAACAUGACUUAAGGUCAGGUAAAGGACCAGAUGGCAGGAUUGGGAGUGCGGAUUGAAGGUGGGCCUGGGGCUAGUGAUGAGGGAGGGGUUGGGAUUGGUUUUGAGCCAGGAGUUGAGGCGGGUUCUCAGGCAAGGAUGGAGGAAGUGGAAGGGGAACUACUGGGCAUUCCUGCUCUGUGGAGGCACUUGGGAUUUGUUCUGAGGCAUCGGCAGCAGGAUAGAAGGACUCACUAUGCGUAGUUUGGGAGACCCCAGAAGAGCUGGACGGGGGGUGUGCUUUAAUCGCCCUCCUCCAAGGUUGCAGGAUAUGGGCGCUGCUGCUGCAUAGGCAGCUCCUUUGAUUGGUCUUUGCUGUUGCAGAAAGGAAGGGAGGAUGCCAAACCAUGCUCAUCAGCAACUCUUUGCUUUGGAAAAGAACGCUUUAUUUCCUUCCACCUGAGGAAGUCACACCUGUUUUGGACUUGUUUCUCUCCAAGUGCCAGGGCAUCGGGGCUGAGAAGUGAGAGGGUAACAGGCUCUACAAGGUUGGCUGCAGGGUCUCCCCUGGAAGAAGCCUCGGAAGAAUGGAGGGCCCUAAACUCAUGAUGGAAGUCACGUGGAGCCAGGGUUGAAGGGAAGAAGUCUUUGGCACGAGUUUGCCACCAAGGGAGGUCUAAAAUUGACAAGCUGGAGGGGUCAAUGCCUGUGAUUGUUGGGACAUAAGUACACAACCCACAGAAGCUCUCUGGGGGUGAGCUGUCUGGAACAGGCGUCCUUGAGAUGGAAAUCGGUUUAGAUGGAGUCAGAGUCAAACUGCAGUCUGGCCGUGGUGAAGCAGACCAGGUUGGGGGUGCGUGAUGACGAGCAAAGGCCUCAGUGGGAUUCACCGUCUGGGACAGCUGCGUUAAGGGGCUGACUUCGUGGGAAAGGGUCGGGUCCCGAGAGAAGAUGCUAUUUAGAGACACUUUGUUUGGACAGACGGCAGAACCGAGUUACCCAAAACCCAUGCUCCCAAGACAGUACACAGAACAGACAACACGUAAUUAGAGAAAUAUUGACUCCUCACAAGGGAUUAUUUCGGGGUAGGAUGUGCCCCCCAAAUCCGUCUCACUGGAAAUGCUGGAGACGUUUUCUGUGGAAAGAGUAGGGAACACAUUUCUGCACAGAGUGCCUUUGGGAGUCGUGAGAGGGGCCCGAGGCUAAGGGGCAGCCUGAUGCCCGCAGGUGUCCUUUGGGUGGGGCGCAGGCUCCCUGUGGGGCAUGGAGCGGGGAUACCUCUGACACGGUAGCUGGUCCUGAAAUGCCACAGCUUUCUGGGGCUGUGUGUCCUUGUUUCUGAGCUGUCUGUUACUUGCAGUAAGGCCUUGGCCAGCAAAGACGGCUUCUUGCUGGCAGGACCUGGUACUGGUCUCCUUAUGGGCGGGACGCCUGUAGGUGACCGGAUACCCCGGGACAGGCUGCGCCUGGGCCUGCACUUGUGCUUUCUGCUCAGUUUUCCCCAACUUGGUGGAGGACCGAAUGGGCUGCUGAGGGUAGGUGCUGCCUAUUGCAUGCCAACGCCCCAUUUCUCCUCUUGGAACUUCCCAACGGCGGUCAUGAUUUUCUGAGCUUCGGGCGUCCUGGAAAAGGCAGCUCUGCCUUUAAGUAGGCCUCUGCUUUCCCCCAAUGCUAGGGGACUAUGCCUCUCCUGGGAGUUUACUCACCUUUUGCAUUGUA